UCUACUGCUUGGUAAGGCUACUUGUUAAUUAAUUUUGUUGUCCUGUGGUUUAGAGGUCAGCUAUGGAUACUCGGCUGCGAGAAUUUUUGAUGGAGCGCAAACUUGAAGAAGAUGUGAUCCAGAAACUUGAAGAUGAGAAUCUGUCUUUACAUGUGGUUAAAUCAUCAGUCAGUGGAACAAGACAGUCUUCUGCACCCCAAAGGUGAGGGACCAUGUACAUGACAUCAGGUAUUCCACUGGGCACGUUGGUGUUCUUAGACAGCCUUAUACGGACGGGAUCUGCAGAGACUUUGAUUCAUCUGCCGUCUGGACAUGGAGUGAUGUG